CGUCUCCGCGGCUGCGAUAAGGCACGGUUCAUAUCCCGGCCGCCCGGACCGUGCAUAGCUACUGGCGAGCCCGCCAGCAUCGAGG
ncrna:unclassified sequences c-di-GMP-II-GCG riboswitch